rnacentral:rRNA from 1 species
GCGGAGAAAUUCCAAACGAACUUGGAGAUAGCUGGUUCUCUCCGAAAUAGCUUUAGGGCUAGCGUCGACAUUAGAGAUUCUUGGAGGUAGAGCACUGUUUGGGUGAGGGGUCCAUCCCGGAUUACCAAUCUCAGAUAAACUCCGAAUGCCAAUGAAUUAUGGUCGGCAGUCAGACUGCGAGUGCUAAGAUCCGUAGUCGAAAGGGAAACAGCCCAGACCACCAGCUAAGGUCCCAAAAUAAUUGUUAAGUGGAAAAGGAUGUGGGGUUGCACAGACAACUAGGAUGUUAGCUUAGAAGCAGCUAUUCAUUCAAAGAGUGCGUAAUAGCUCACUAGUCGAGUGACCCUGCGCCGAAAAUGUACCGGGGCUAAAACAAUUUACCGAAGCUGUGGAUACCUUUAUAGGUAUGGUAGGAGAGCGUUCUAUGUGUGAAGAA